AUGAUUAACAACAUUUACUUAGUACAGGAUUGGGGUUUAGUUGAAACCAACAGUCCCCCUAAAGUGAUCGUCCUGCCGCCGUCCAGUGAAGAGAUUUCCACAAAGCAAGCAGCAACACUGAUGUGUGUGGCCAACAAGGGCUUCCCCUCAGACUGGAGUCUGAACUGGAAGGUGGACGGGAUCAGCAGCAGGUCUCAGUACAGCAGUGUUGCUCUCCUGGAGAAGGACGGUCUGUACAGCUGGAGCAGCAGUCUGACUCUCUCUGAGCAGGAGUGGAGCUCAGUGAUCUCAGUCAGCUGUGAGCUCACACAGAAAGACCAGCGUGAUAAAGUCACUGGAGAAUUGAGGAGAGAUCAGUGUUCACAGUAG